rnacentral:rRNA from 1 species
CCUACGGAAGGCAGCAGUGAGGAAUAUUGGUCAAUGGCCGAGAGGCUGAACCAGCCAAGUCGCGUGAGGGAAGACGGCCCUACGGGUUGUAAACCUCUUUUGUCGGGGAGCAAAGCGAACCACGUGUGGUUCAUUGAGAGUACCCGAAGAAAAAGCAUCGGCUAACUCCGUGCCAGCAGCCGCGGUAAUACGGAGGAUGCGAGCGUUAUCCGGAUUUAUUGGGUUUAAAGGGUGCGUAGGCGGGCCUUCAGGCCGGCGGUAAAAUUGCGGGGCUCAACCCCGCCGAGCCGUCGGAACCGGGGGCCUUGAGUACCGGAGAAGUACGCGGAAUGCGUGGUGUAGCGGUGAAAUGCAUAGAUAUCACGCAGAACCCCGAUUGCGAAGGCAGCGUACCGGCCGGUCACUGACGCUGAGGCACGAAAGCGCGGGUAUCGAACAGGAUUAGAUACCCUUGUAGUC